AGUCACAGCCAUAUCACCCUGCAGCCCAAGAUUGGUUACUCACUGAAGCUAAGCAGGGCUGAGCCUGGUCAGUACCUGGAUGGGAGACCACUAGGGAACACUAGGUUGCUGUUGGAA
rnacentral:rRNA from 1 species